rnacentral:rRNA from 1 species
UACGAAGGGGGCUAGCGUUGUUCGGAAUCACUGGGCGUAAAGGGCGCGUAGGCGGCUUUAUAAGUCGGGGGUGAAAGCCUGUGGCUCAACCACAGAAUUGCCUUCGAUACUGUAGAGCUUGAGACCGGAAGAGGUAAGUGGAACUGCGAGUGUAGAGGUGAAAUUCGUAGAUAUUCGGAAGAACACCAGUGGCGAAGGCGACUCGCUGGACAGACAUUGACGCUGAGGUGCGAAAGCGUGGGGAGCAAACAGG